rnacentral:rRNA from 1 species
AGGGUCCUAAGGUAGCGAAAUACCUUGUCAGGUAAAUUCUGACGCGCACGAAUGAUGUAACGACUUUGGAGCUGUCUCAACACCAUAUCCGGCGAAAUUUUAUUAACUGUGAAGAUGCAGUUUACGUCCAACUAGACGGAAAGACCCCAUGAAGCUUUACUGCAACUUAAUAUUGGUUGAUGGCGAUUUAUACAUAGCAUAAAAAGGAGACUGUGAUGCUUAGAUUUCGGUUUAAGCGGAGUCGCCAGUGAAAUACUUUUUUUAAAUUGUUGUUAACCUAACAUAUAUAUUUCAAAAAUAUAGUGGACAGUGUUUGGUGGGCAGUUUGACUGGGGCGGUCUCCUCCUAAAAAGUAACGGAGGAGCCCUAAGGUAUUCUCAGUUUGGUUAGAAAUCAAAUGUAGAGUGUAAAAGCAUAAGAAUGCCUGACCGUGAGACAAAUAAGUCAAACGGAGACGAAAGUCGGGUUUAGUGACCUUACGGUUCUUUUAGUUCGGGCCGUAAAUUAUCAGAUAAAAGCUACUCUGGGGAUAACAGGCUGGUGCUGCUCGAGAGUUCAUAUCGACGGCAGAGUUCGGCACCUCGAUGUCGGCUCAUCAUAUCCUGGAGGGGCAGUACCUUCCAAGGGUUUGGCUGUUCGCCAAUUAAAAUGGUACGUGAGCUGGGUUCAAACCGUCGUGAGACAGGUUGGUCCCUAUCUGUUGGAUGUGCAGGAAGUCUGAGAGGAUUCGUUUUUCGUACGAGAGGACUAAAACGAGUGUAGCAAUGGUGCACAAGUUGUCACGCUAGUGGCACAGCUUGGCAGCUACCUACAUAUCAGAUAAAUGCUGAAAGCAUAUAAGCAUGAAACUGUCCUCAAAACGAGACUUCUAAGAACACUUCAAGAACAGAAGUUUGAUAGGCUGGGAGUGUAAGUAUAGUAAUAUAUUUAGCUUGCCAGUACUAAUAGUUCGUAGGUUUUAUUUU